GGGGACAUUUAAGGAUAGAAGAAUGGAUGAUAAUUGUUCUAAAUCAACAUUAUUAAAUGCUACAACAUCCAAAAAAACACCAGCCAAUAUCUUAUUGUCAAUCUGGGCACUAUGGAUGUCAAGACAUAAAUGCCGUAUACUCUCACAAGCAGAACGACCACAUCGAAAUCCAAAUUGAUUAUUAGGGCAUUGACCUGAUACUGCAAGAUGGUUACCUUUACAGUGCACACAUACUGCUUUGUCAAUAGAAUUUAGCCAAGUGGUCAAACCUAAGGCAUCGGAAACACUGCUUAACUGGCGGCACAUAAGGUCGCACUGGUAGACG